CAGAUGGCAGAGCCCUUUCUCUAAAUGCAUGGCAUGAAAAGGCAUUUCAAAGGUUGGAAAGAGAGCUUCAGCAUUAAUCAUGAUGGGAUAGCGGAAACUGGCUUUGCAAGGGAUGGACUGGACUUCAGGGAAGAUGGACAGCCUGAGCUCACUUUCAGGAGAGCUCACUUUCAGGAGAUCAGUCAGGGCUGUCAUUCCAGGGCCUGGGUGGAGGGCUUCUGCUGUGCCAGGGAACAGGUGUCUGGACUCGGUCUCCCAGGGGAGAAGCAGGCCCCCCACAAAGGACAUAAAUCUCUACAGAUGAGGAUACCUCACUGGGCUUUUGUUUGUCAGCCAAAAAGGGAAAAACAUUUCAGCAGAGGCCUCAAAGGCAGAACAAAAUAGUGCAAGGAGCCGCACAUCCGCACAGUGCUGAGACCCUGCCCAGGACAAGCUUGGCCGCAGUAUUCCCUUUGGCACCCCCACCCACCUGGAACAAAGCCUGAUGUAAAGUCUGGGUGCGACUCAGACCGGCCUGGGAAAGAAUUUAUUUAAUAAAUGGUGGAAAGUGGCUUCCUUGACGUGUCUUCGAUGGCUU
rnacentral:lncRNA from 1 species